rnacentral:rRNA from 1 species
GACGAACGCUGGCGGCGUGCUUAACACAUGCAAGUCGAACGGAAAGGCCCUGCUUGCAGGGUACUCGAGUGGCGAACGGGUGAGAAACACGUGGGUGAUCUGCCCUGCACUUCGGGAUAAGCCUGGGAAACUGGGUCUAAUACCGGAUAGGAGCCAUUUUUAGUGUGAUGGUUGGAAAGUUUUUUCGGUGUAGGAUGAGCUGGCGGCCUAUCAGCUUGUUGGUGGGGUAAUGGCCUACCAAGGCGGCGACGGGUAGCCGGCCUGCGGGGGUGGACGGCCACAUUGGGACUGAGAGACGGCCCAGACUCCUACGGGAGGCAGCAGUGGGGAAUAUUGCACAAUGGGCGCAAGCCUGAUGCAGCGACGCCGCGUGGGGGAUGACGGCCUUCGGGUUGUAAACUCCUUUCGCUAGGGACGAAGCUUUUUGUGACGGUACCUAGAUAAGAAGCACCGGCUAACUACGUG